rnacentral:rRNA from 1 species
UACAGAGGUCUCAAGCGUUGUUCGGAUUCAUUGGGCGUAAAGGGUGCGUAGGCGGCGCGGUAAGUCGGGUGUGAAAUCUUGGAGCUUAACUCCGAAACUGCAUUCGAUACUGCCGUGCUUGAGGACUGGAGAGGAGACUGGAAUUUACGGUGUAGCGGUGAAAUGCGUAGAUAUCGUAAGGAAGACCAGUGGCGAAGGCGGCUAACUGGCCCAACAUUGACGCUGAGACCCGAAAGCAUGGGGAUCAAACAGG